UGGCCUGACGUCUCGUCUUCGGUGAACUGAAGUUUAUCCGGGAUUAUGGAACCUGACGAACCAGAGAACAACAUUCCUGACGAAUGGUGGAACUACAUAUGGUCGCCCCGGUUCCUCCAGAUGAAGAACAGUAGCAAUCCUCAAGUCCAGAAAUAUGCAAUAUCGGUAAGC